ensembl:snRNA U6 U6 spliceosomal RNA
GUGCUCAUUUUGGCAGCACAUACACCAAAAGUGGAUCAAUACAGAGAAGAUUAGCAAGCCCCCCUGCACAAGGAUGACAAGCAAAUCUGUGACGCAUUCCACUAAAAA